rnacentral:rRNA from 1 species
UACAGAGGUGGCAAGCGUUGUUCGGAAUUACUGGGCGUAAAGGGCGCGUAGGCGGCCCGUCAAGUCCCGUGUGAAAGCCCCCGGCUCAACCGGGGAACGGCGCGGGAAACUAGCAGGCUUGAGUUCGGGAGAGGGAAGCGGAAUUCCGGGUGUAGCGGUGAAAUGCGCAGAUAUCCGGAGGAACACCGGUGGCGAAGGCGGGUCUCUGGGCCGAUACUGACGCUGAGGAGCGAAAGCGUGGGGAGCGAACAGG